rnacentral:lncRNA from 1 species
CUCACUGCAACCUCCACCUUCUCUGGAGAAGCUCCAAACAUGGUUCCUGGAGGAGGUGGGGGGAAAGGAGGUCCUCUCCUCAUGAACGGGCCCCUCGUAUCCACUGGAAACAAUAAACCUCUGAUUGGAGCAAGAGGUGGAGGAACAAAGCCAGGGCCAGUUGCUUCAUUUUCAGCGGGGAGAGAUGAAUCAGGCACCUUUAAAUUACCAAGAUUAUCUUUGGUAUCAUUUCUACUGGAUUCCAUUUCUGAAGGCAUUGACCCAUCCAUUUUAUCCAAAGAAGGCAUAUUAAAACUUCUGAGUUCUGCUGGUCCAGAGAGUCUAGCACAAUUAGAAUAAAAUCUGCCUUGCCUUUGUGGAGGAAGAGCUGAAUCAGGA